rnacentral:rRNA from 1 species
UACGUAGGGUGCAAGCGUUGUCCGGAAUUAUUGGGCGUAAAGAGCUCGUAGGCGGUCUGUCGCGUCGGCUGUGAAAACCCGGAGCUCAACUCCGGGCCUGCAGUCGAUACGGGCAAACUGGAGUGUUGCAGGGGAGACUGGAAUUCCUGGUGUAGCGGUGAAAUGCGCAGAUAUCAGGAGGAACACCAAUGGCGAAGGCAGCACUCUGGGACGUGACUGACGCUGAGACGCGAAAGCGUGGGGAGCAAACAGG